rnacentral:rRNA from 1 species
UACGUAGGUGGCAAGCGUUGUCCGGAAUUAUUGGGCGUAAAGCGCGCGCAGGCGGUCCUUUAAGUCUGAUGUGAAAGCCCACGGCUGAACCGAGGAGGGUCAUUGGAAACUGGGGGACUUGAGUACAGAAGAGGAAAGCGGAAUUCCACGUGUAGCGGUGAAAUGCGUAGAGAUGUGGAGGAACACCAGUGGCGAAGGCGGCGACCUGGUCAGAAACUGACGCUGAGGCGCGAAAGCGUGGGGAGCAAACAGG